CCUACGGGAGGCAGCAGUGAGGAAUAUUGGUCAAUGGGCACUAGCCUGAACCAGCCAAGUAGCGUGAAGGAUGACUGCCCUAUGGGUUGUAAACUUCUUUUAUAUGGGAAUAAAGUGCAGUAUGUAUACUGCUUUGCAUGUACCUUAUGAAUAAGGAUCGGCUAACUCCGUGCCAGCAGCCGCGGUAAUACGGAGGAUCCGAGCGUUAUCCGGAUUUAUUGGGUUUAAAGGGAGCGUAGGCGGGUUGUUAAGUCAGUUGUGAAAGUUUGAGGCUCAACCGUAAAAUUGCAGUUGAUACUGGCAUCCUUGAGUACAGUAGAGGUAGGCGGAAUUCGUGGUGUAGCGGUGAAAUGCUUAGAUAUCACGAAGAACUCCGAUUGCGAAGGCAGCCUGCUGGACUGUAACUGACGCUGAUGCUCGAAAGUGUGGGUAGCAAACAGGAUUAGAUACCCGAGUAGUC
rnacentral:rRNA from 1 species